GACGAACGCUGGCGGCGUGCUUAACACAUGCAAGUCGAACGAGUGGGAACGGGUGAGUAAUACGUGGGUAACCUCCCAUCAGAGGGGAUAACACUUGGAAACAGGUGCUAAACCGAUACUGAUGGAUGGACCCGCGGUGCCUUAGCUAGUUGGUGGGGGAACGGCCCACCGAGGCCACGAUGCAUAGACGACCUGAGAGGAGGUUCGGCCACACUGGAACUGAGACACGGCCCAGACUCCUACGGGAGGCAGCAGUGGGGAAUUUUGGACAAUGGACGAAAGUCUGACCGAGCAACGCCGCGGGAGUGAAGAAGGUUUUCGGAUCGUAAAACCCUUUUGUUAGGAAAGCGGUAUCUAACGAAAAAGCACCGGCUAACUACGUGCCAGCCGCCGCGGUAAUUC
rnacentral:rRNA from 1 species